rnacentral:rRNA from 3 species
AUCAUUACACAAUAACAAGGCGGGUUGGACACCCCCCGCUGGGCACUGCUUCACGGCGUGCGCGGCGGGGCCGGCCCUGCUGAAUUAUUUACCCGUGUCUUUUGCGUACUUCUUGUUUCCUGGGUGGGCUCGCCCGCCCUCAGGACCAACCACAAACCUUUUGCAAUAGCAAUCAGCGUCAGUAACAACGUAAUUAAUUACAACUUUCAACAACGGAUCUCUUGGUUCUGGCAUCGAUGAAGAACGCAGCGAAAUGCGAUACGUAGUGUGAAUUGCAGAAUUCAGUGAAUCAUCGAAUCUUUGAACGCACAUUGCGCCCUUUGGUAUUCCAAAGGGCAUGCCUGUUCGAGCGUCAUUUGUACCCUCAAGCUUUGCUUGGUGUUGGGCGUCUUUUGUCUCCAGUUCGCUGGAGACUCGCCUUAAAGUCAUUGGCAGCCGGCCUACUGGUUUCGGAGCGCAGCACAAGUCGCGCUCUUCGCCAGCCAAGGUCAGCGUCCAGCAAGCCUUUUUUUCAACCUUUGA